UGCUGACUCACUACACGGCUUACUGGCAAACCUAAAGAAAACAGAGCCAUCGUUAAUGUUAUUAGAUCCUUAUGAAUGACUGGGGAAAAAAUAUUGUUCUGGAAGAUCCAAUUUAUUAAGACCAAACACCAUCCAAAUAUGGAAGCUUCAAAUCAGUCAAAGGCCAAAAUUUAAGGAACUAAACAACAACUCUACUAGAUGGAAAACAAGGCUGUAAGGAUGCAAAACAGGUGGAAUAACCAGUAAUGAGUAAAGCAGAGGCACAAUGACAUUGGCAGCCACCUUCUCCGUUGUGAAAUGUCAGUCUUUCCCAACAGUCCCUUUCAUCCCGCAUAAUUUAAAUGCAGCAAAUGCCUUCUCCUUCUUUUUCAUCUUCAUGUACUACGGAAUGCCACCAAAGACUUGAGUUGGUUUUCUUUUAUUCUCCAAUCAACAUUGUACCACCUCAAUCAGAUUAAAAAAUAACUAUCCUUUAUUAUUUUAAAAUCAAGGCGAUCUGCACACCAAGCACAUUUUUGUAGCAUUUCCCGUGUGUGUGUCUCUAUGUUGGGCAACCAUGCAAGUGUGCACUUGCAUUUUACUUUCUUAUCUGCACACAAAUACACAGCUGUAAGCAGCAAAUGUAUUUUUGUACCUGGCUCUCCACACAUAACACACCUGGGCGAUCUUCCUCUUGGGACAGCUAACAAUAGGGCAGUCAACUAUGCCUAAAGCGAAUUAAACCACUCCAUUAAUUCACAACCCCAGAGGGAUUCAAUUCUAUUUUCAUGUAACACCGGCGAGACAUGAAUCUUCCAGUGCUAUUCACAUGAAAACAUGUGCCAAAACAACAAAUUAAAUUUUUUCAGUAAAACCUUAAACUCACAAAUGUAUGUCUGUUAGACAUAACAUAGGUCAAGUGUUAUUUUUAUGAGAAAAACCUUUUUGUGAUAUAUCAGUUUGAGAAUGAUGAUCCAUAAGCUACAGUACACUAGAAAUGUAUUUAUUUCGGCAUCACGCAUCAAUUCCGGCAUCUAACUUCUGCCAUUUAGGGGGAAAAUGUGAACCCACUUUCAAUUCCAAUUACUAGAGAAAAUCCCCCCUGCCAGUGAGAGCUAGAGAGCUGUGUUGGAGAUCCUCAUUGCGUAGCCAGUGUGCAUCGGUCAUUAGCUUCCCACUGGGUGCAGCAGCACGCAUGGUCUCCCAAGCAGCCAGACCACUCCACAUCCUCCAUCCCUCAGUAAACACCUCUCCCCACACCACGCACAUACUCCACAAAACUAAU